rnacentral:misc_RNA from 1 species
AACGCAUAUUGCACCUUGGGGUAUUCCUCAAGGUAUGCCUGUUUGAGUGUCAGUAACUAUCCUCAACCCUUUACGGGUGUUGGAUUUGGAUUUCUUUUAGUCUUUUGGGACUGAAAAGUCAUCUUAAAUAUAUUGGUGGGCAGUUUUAAGUCUGAAGUAGAUCUGCUCUAACUUUGAUAAAGUCUUGUUACUUUUCUAGUUACCGGAUCUUCUUGUUAAACAGUCAUAGGACUUGCUUUCAUCCUCAAGCAUAAAAAAUUGAUAGGCGUGUUUGACGCGUCUUUGAUUUUUUGUAACUUGACCUCAAAUCAGGUAGGACUACCCGCUGAACUUAA